rnacentral:tRNA from 1 species
AGUGGUUAAGUGCUUGGCUGCUAACCAAAAGGUCGAUGGUUAGAACCCAUCAGCCACUC